rnacentral:lncRNA from 1 species
UAAUGUGUAUGUAUUGUAUGUAUAUUGCCCUAAUAUUGCCUUUAUAUUGUACUUAUAUUGCCCUACUAUUGCCUUCGUAUUGUAUAUUUAUUGUGGCCAUAUUGCCCUACUAUUGCCUUCGUAUUGUAUAUUUAUUGUGGUCAUAUUGCCUUCGUAUUGCCUUCGUAUUGCCUUUGUAUUGUAGGCAUAUUGCCCUACUUUGGAAUAUGAUGAGGACUGGAAAAUAAAUCCACAGGCACAGAAUCACC